rnacentral:rRNA from 1 species
UACAGAGGUGGCAAGCGUUGUUCGGAAUUACUGGGCGUAAAGGGCGCGUAGGCGGCUUUGCAAGUGGCGGGUGAAAUCCCUCGGCUUAACCGAGGAACUGCCUGCCAGACUGCAAGGCUCGAGACCGGGAGAGGUGAGUGGAAUUCCCAGUGUAGCGGUGAAAUGCGUAGAUAUUGGGAGGAACACCAGUGGCGAAGGCGGCUCACUGGACCGGAACUGACGCUGAGGCGCGAAAGCGUGGGGAGCAAACAGG